UAUUUAAUAUAUAAGUAUAUUUAACUUCCAAUUAAAAAGACUGAUUAAUAUCAGAAUAAGUA
rnacentral:tRNA from 1 species